rnacentral:rRNA from 1 species
AUUGAACGCUGGCGGCAUGCUUUACACAUGCAAGUCGAACGGUAACAGGCCUUCGGGUGCUGACGAGUGGCGAACGGGUGAGUAAUGCAUCGGAACGUGCCCAGAGGUGGGGGAUAACGCAGCGAAAGCUGUGCUAAUACCGCAUGUGAUCUGAGGAUGAAAGCGGGGGACCAGGCAGCAAUGUUUGGCCUCGCGCCUUUGGAGCGGCCGAUGUCAGAUUAGGUAGUUGGUGGGGUAAAGGCCUACCAAGCCGCCGAUCUGUAGCUGGUCUGAGAGGACGACCAGCCACACUGGGAGUGAGACACGGCCCAGACUCCUACGGGAGGCAGCAGUGGGGAAUUUUAGACAAUGGGCGCAAGCCUGAUCCAGCAAUGCCGCGUGCGGGAAGAAGGCCUUCGGGUUGUAAACCGCUUUUGUACGGAACGAAAAGGCUCUGGCUAAUACCUGGGGCUGAUGACGGUACCGGAAGAAUAAGCACCGGCUAACUACGUG